CCACACAUUUUCUGGGCCUACUGGAUUAUUUCUGCCAAUUUAAUGAUCGUCACCUCUGCUUUGACACAUGCCCUAUUUCCUACAGGUUGAAGAACUCAAUUUCUCUCCAUGUUAACAUCACUGGAGAAACAUUACCAGAGGAGGACAAAAGGGGCUGGAAGCUGUGUCUUGGACCUGUGACCCCAAUCUGUCCCUGCACCUGGAUCCUGGGACCCUCUGGAGAGGAACAAGAAGUGAGUAGAACAGGUGCUCCCAGCAGCUUCAGGGGAGCUGUUCUGGGGCCCAGAGUGGAAACAGAGAGAGAGGGACACCCUCUUCUGUCCCCAUAAGCAUGAAAGUGACCGUGCUAGUUGCUUAGUCAUGUCUGACUCUUUGCGACCCCAUGGACUGUAGCCCGCCAUCCUCCUCUGUCCCUGGAAUUCUCCAGGCAAGAAUACUGGAGUGGGUAACCAUUCCCUUCUCCAGGGGAUCUUCCCAACCCAGGGAUUGAAACUGGGUCUCCCACAUUGCAGGCAGAGUCUUUAGCAUCUAAGCCACCUGGGAAACCUUGUCUCUACAAGGCCAACCCCAAGCCCUGACCCAGGCAUGCUGACUCCACAUGGGACACCCUCACUCUUUUUUCCUCUUGUGUUAAUGCUUCUCCAGGGAUGUUAACUUGGAUAGAAAUUCGGUUCCUUCAAGCUGAAGGAUACAGAGCAUGUGUCAAGGCCUAAGUGACCAUCAUUGAGCUGGCAGAAACAGGCCAGAGACAUGGCGAAUAUGUGGCACAAUUGCCUUAGUAAUGUGGAUGGGCCUCAUCCAAUCAGUUGAAGGCCUGGAUAGAACAGAAAGAUGGGGCUCCCCUGAGCAAAAGGGAAUUCUCCAGCAGACUGCCUUCACAUCAGUGCUGUCCCAUUGACUCAUGGGCCUCUAGCCAGCCAACCCCACUCUAGAUUUGGGCUUACCAGCUUCCAUAACUUCAUAAUUUUGUAAGCCAAUUCCUUACAAUAAACCUCUUUCCAUAUAUAUAUAUGUAUAUGUAUACACACACACAGACACACACACAUCCUGUUGAUUCUGUUUCUCUGGAGAACACCGACAUGGCAAGCAGAUCUUAGCUACCUAGUUGACAAUAUGAACUUGCUUAGAAGUGGGGAAAAGAUUUGGAAGUAGCUGGAAUAGGAAGAUGGGUGAAGGCAGAGAAGGUAGAAGACCCCAAGUAUCCUCUCCCUGGCUUUGCUGAGGUCUGGCUCAGGUCACUAUGGCCAUCUUUUGAUGGAAGAGUUCCUCACUCCAGAGAACUCCUGGACUGAUACAGGCCCAGGACAACAUUUGAUGUCUGGAUUCUCAUGAACCAGCCAGAGCAACAUCCUGACCCUGGCUGGUGGGAUGACUUCAGUAAAUUCAGAAAAGCUCUGUUGACACUGACCUGUCAAUAGGACUCAGUCCUGUCCAGGAUGGAGAAAUAGGAGAAGAGGUGGGAUUCAGAGGCUGAAGACUGAAAAGGAAAGGAUUCCCAAAUGAGGGGGCCCACUCCUCUGAAAUGGUCAAUCAGCUUUGUAGCAUUGACUUAAGACCCCAGAAUCUUAGCCUGAGACCCUACAGAAUUGCCCCACUAUCCCUAGCUGCGGCAUCCCUUCAGUAAUUCUU
ensembl:lncRNA